rnacentral:rRNA from 1 species
GAGUCAUUGUAGCAAUACAAGGCAGACGGCUCAGUAACGCGUAGUCAACCUACCCUAUGGACGGGAAUAACCUCGGGAAACUGAGUAUAAUGCCCGAUAGAACACUAUACCUGGAAUGGUUUGUGUUUCAAAUGAUUUAUUGCCGUAGGAUGGGACUGCGGCCUAUCAGUUUGUUGGUGAGGUAAUGGCCCACCAAGACUAUUACAGGUACGGGCUCUGAGAGGAGUGGCCCGGAGAUGGGUACUGAGACACGGACCCAGGCCCUAUGGGGCGCAGCAGGCGAGAAAACUUUGCAAUGUGCGAAAGCACGACAAGGUUAAUCCGAGUGGUUUCUGCUAAAGGAACCUUUUGACAGUCCUAGAAACACUGUUGAAUAAGGGGUGGGCAAGUUCUGGUGUCAGCCGCCGCGGUAAAACCAGCACCUCAAGUGGUCAGGAUGAUUAUUGGGCCUAAAGCAUCCGUAGCCGGCUCAGUAAGUUUUCGGUUAAAUCUGUACGCUCAACGUACAGGCUGCCGGGAAUACUGCAGAGCUAGGGAGUGGGAGAGGUAGACGGUACUCGGGAGGAAGUGGUAAAAUGCUUUGAUCUUUCGAUGACCACCCGUGGCGAAGGCGGUCUACCAGAACACGUCCGACGGUGAGGGAUGAAAGCUGGGGGAGCAAACCGGAUUAGAUACCCGGGUAGUCCCAGCUGUAAACUAUGCAAACUCAGUGAUGCAUUGACUUGUGGUCAAUGCAGUGUUGCA